GGGGGCCGGCGCCCCGGGCCCCGGGCGGGGCCCCCGGGCCGAGUGAGGUGGCGAGAGGCUCCGGAGAAGACGUGCGGCGGGGAGGGCAGGACUCCGCCCGGCUGUCUCGACGCGCCCGGCUCCCGCCCGCUGUGUGGCGGGAUCCGGGGGCGGCUAGGAAGGGGCGGUGUGGGGAAAGAGGUUUGGCCUGUACGAGGGCACCGAGCCCUUCCCGGGAUGUUUGGAAAUAAAGCCCGAUACGGGCACCCGCCGUC